UGGGGAAUAUUGGACAAUGGGCGAAAGCCUGAUCCAGCCAUGCCGCGUGUGUGAAGAAGGUCUUCGGAUUGUAAAGCACUUUAAGUUGGGAGGAAGGGCAGUAAGCGAAUACCUUGCUGUUUUGACGUUACCGACAGAAUAAGCACCGGCUAACUCUGUGCCAGCAGCCGCGGUAAUACAGAGGGUGCAAGCGUUAAUCGGAAUUACUGGGCGUAAAGCGCGCGUAGGUGGUUCGUUAAGUUGAAUGUGAAAGCCCCGGGCUCAACCUGGGAACUGCAUCCAAAACUGGCGAGCUAGAGUAGGGCAGAGGGUAGUGGAAUUUCCUGUGUAGCGGUGAAAUGCGUAGAUAUAGGAAGGAAAACCAGUGGCGAAGGCGACCACCUGGGCUCAUACUGACACUGAGGUGCGAAAGCGUGGGGAGCAAACAGU
rnacentral:rRNA from 1 species